rnacentral:rRNA from 1 species
UACGUAGGUGGCAAGCGUUGUCCGGAUUUACUGGGUGUAAAGGGCGUGUAGCCGGAGUUACAAGUCAGAUGUGAAAUCCUCAGGCUUAACCUGGGAACUGCAUUUGAAACUGUAGCCCUUGAGUAUCGGAGAGGUCAUCGGAAUUCCUUGUGUAGCGGUGAAAUGCGUAGAUAUAAGGAAGAACACCAGUGGCGAAGGCGGAUGACUGGACGACAACUGACGGUGAGGCGCGAAAGCGUGGGGAGCGAACAGGAUUAGAUACCCUGGUAGUCCACGCUGUAAACGAUGGAUACUAGGUGUGCGGGGACUGACCCCCUGCGUGCCGCAGUUAACACAAUAAGUAUCCCACCUGGGGAGUGCGAUCGCAAGGUUGAA